UUAACAACUUAAAAAAUAAAAUACAUCAAACAUAUGGUCGAACACAUAAAUUUAAAGGAAAUUCAUUUAAAAAGAAAGAAUAUAAUAAUAAACCCAUCAAUUAAAAAAGCAACAAUUAAAAAUACAACAGUAAAAAAGAAUCCCUAAUUCAAGAAUCAAACCCAAUGUUCACGCCCAAAUUUCAGGCGGCGCUCUUUUUUUUCUUCACUCUCACGCACACCCAUUUCUCAGAACCGCUGAGGCCAUCUCGUCGUCGCACGGACAGAUCCGCCCCGCCUUCUCUGGCAGCAGCUGCAGCACACCACGUCGUCCUUUUUACUCGCCCUCUCCGCCUCUCUUUCACUCUAUGUCUUUCUCGUAGCCUUGCAUCUCUCUCGCCUAUCACUCAUCGUCGUACGGAUCAUCCUGCCUUCAACAACAACAGCCGCAGCACCACUCAGGCACACAGAAGUCUGUCUCCGCCUCAGCUCCCUGCCUUAAAAAUAGCAGCCAACACGUAACUCAUUUAUGCCUUCAAGCAUCCCUUUUUCUCCUCAUUCUCCUUUUCCAUCCACGAAUUUUGAAUACAUAGAAGCUGUGAUCCUGUGGGUUCACGAAUUUUUUAGUUUUUUUCGGCUGCAAUUCCUUGAGAACACCAAUCUUUGAUACAUUGAGAAAUAAAAUAGUGAGGUGCUGCAUGCUGCUGCUGUCAGAGGGAGGAACCAGGCGGAGAAGGCGUCGGUGCCGAUGGGAGGCGGGGAUGGGAGGCCGGAGGGAAUCGUGGAGGAGGCGGGGAAACAGGAUAGGAAGUGGGAGGCAGCUGGAACAGUUGGGUUUGAGAAGUGGGAACCGCACGCAGCACGCUAAUGCCUAAAGUUCUAAACCCUAUUACCCUAAAUUAAUUAAUUUAAAAAAAAAACCGGUUAAUCGGAUUAACCGAUUAAUCGGUUUACUGGGAAAGUGCUAAUUGAUAACCGAACCGAACCGGGAAAAACCGGUUAUCGGUUAACCGAUAACCGGUUUUUUUGGUUCGGUUACGGUUUUAACCGAAAACCGACACCGGUUUACCACCCCUAGUGGCAGCCGGAAUGGAUGAGGUGGCAGCCAAAAAUUGACACCUAAGCACAUUUGUUACAUAUGAAAAAAAAACUUAAAAAAAAAAAUACAUAUCAUCAUCAUCUUCCCCAAUCUUUCAUACUUCCAAAACCUAAUUCCCUUCCCCAUCCCCCAACCCAUCGCCACCGACGACGACGCCCGUACCACCACCACCGGCGCCUGAAACCCUCCAGAUCGACUCCCUCUCUCUCUGGUCUCUCCAAUUCGUGCCUUAGAUCCCCAGUUCACCACCAAUUCGCGCCGCCCCUGCUGCGCCACCACCACUAUCGCCAACACCACCAACAGGUCGGUACCCGUCACCCCCUGCUAACCGCCGACCCCUUCCCCUCUCACCUGACUUUCCCUCUCUCCCUGCACACCUCACCAGUUCCAAUUCUUCCAAUUAAAGCGAGGAGAAGACUCUCCGAGGUGGAGGCGCCGUCCCAGUUGAGGAGGGCGUAGGCGGAGAGGAGGAGAAAGGCAAGAAUUGAAGCGGCGAAGCGCGGGAAAUUGGUGGUGGCGCAGCAGGGGGCAUCGCGAAUUGGUGGAGAAUUGGGGAUCUAGGGCACGAAUUGUUGCCAUUUGUGCACCGCCGCGAUCUGGGAUCUAGGGCACGAAUUGUUGCCCUUUGUGCGCCGUCUGUGCUUGCGAAUGUGGUGAGAACGGUGUGGGGUGGUGCCGGCGAUGGUGGUGGCUUGGGCGGCGGCGAGUUGGGGAUUGGGGAGGGGCAGACGAGAUCUGGGGAUUUGGGGGAGGGGCCGAUGGGUCUGGGGAUGGGGGAGGGGGUGGCCAGCGCCGGCGUGUGGUGGCGGUGGGCGGCGCCGGCGGGUGGGGGGAAGGGAGGAGAGGUGAAUUAGGUUGGGAAGAUGAUGAGUUGGAAAUUUUUUUCUUCUUUUUUUUUAAAUUUUUUUACCACAUGUAAAUGUUAUGUUUAGGUGUCAAUUCCGGCUGCCACAGUGUCAAUUCCAGCGUCGGCAUGAGAAAAAACUGAUCACCGGAUAAAUUCGAGACGAAAACGAAAGCUCAGUAUGUGCUCCAACAUGGGAUUUCCUCUGUUACAUCGAAAACUUCUGCGUGGCACAGCUGUUGAAGUUUGUGAUGGUCGCAAUCUUGGUCUAUUUUGCUACUUCUCGGCAUUACAUUGUUGCUGCUCCUACUGCU